rnacentral:SRP_RNA from 1 species
AGAUGGACUAGGUCGGGCGGUUUGGCCCCGCCCCUCGCCCGCGAAAUGGUCAUCAGCGGGGACCGAACGCCGUGGGAGUCCGGCCCGCCCGGGUCGGACCCCGGAAGCCGACGUCGAAACCUCGUCCUUCGGGGGCGACGGUCCGUCGUCUACGCGCCUGCAGGGGCGUCGUAGCACGGUUCGUCGGUGCGAUCCCGCCAGGCACGGAAGUGAGCAGCGGAGCACCGGACGGUCGUCGCUCGAAGGGUCGCGGGGUGGAGGAGGCGACCGGGACUAUCCGUCCCGGAACGGUCAGGCGACCACGGCCCGUCCACCA